AGGCUUUAAUCUUUUUAAAGCGUGCUGUGGGAUGGGAUAUUGGCGUUGAGUGGGAUAAGGGUGAUUAGGUUUUAAUGAGAUGGUAAGGGGUGCAUAAUCGGUUGCCAAGGAGGGAGUAGAGGUAUCUUAUACUUGUGGGUUAAGGUGGGGGGAUACAAGAGGAGGACGCAAAGGAGGCUUUGGAUUGGGACGAAGGGCGGCAAUGAGAUAUAGCUGUAGUCCAGGAAUAGUCAGGGAAGCAGAUAAUUUAGUUAAAGUGUCUCAGCCGAAUAAGGGAACUGGGCAGGUGGGGGAGGGCUAGUCACGGAACGAAACUGUAAGCUGGACCAGGUGUGGGGAGGGGAGGUGAUAAAAAGAUUAUAGGGUGGAGGAGCAGAGGCUGAGGA
rnacentral:lncRNA from 10 species